rnacentral:tmRNA from 1 species
GGGGACGUUACGGAUUCGACAGGGAUAGAUCGAGCUUAAGCUGCGAGCCGGAGGGAUCGUCUUCGUCAAAAACGUCGCCUAAAUAUAACUGGCAAAGAAAACAAUUACGCUUUAGCUGCUUAAUAUAGCUAAAGGCUCCUUGCUUUCAUCGCCCAUGUGGAAGUAUAGGGGUUCAAAUGAAGUGGGCUACGCCCAAAUCCGCCGUCUGAGGAUGAGGGAAGAGAUUCAUCAGACUAGCUGCCUGGACGCCUGUCGGUAGGCAUAAGGGACAGCGAAUCAAAAAUUACCGACUACGCUCGUAGAUGCUUAAGUGGCGAUAUUUCUGGACGUGGGUUCGACUCCCACCGUCUCCACUU